CAAAAACCAAUUUAUAUACAGAGCUGGCUCGAUUAAUUAUGGGACCUUAAAUGAAGAAAUUAGAAGUUCAGUGCGAAUUUCAUAAAGAAAUUAACUUUGGUGACCAAUAUAAAACACACCUAUAAAUAUAGGGCCCAAACAAGUUUUUAACCCUCAAUAGUAGGCAAAGCCGCAAAACGUAGCAGCAGAGCGAAAAUUAAUAAAAUUACAUCGUGCCAUGUAGGGGUCUAACCUACGACUUUUUGCUUAGGUAACAGGGCUCUAUCCAUCCCUCGAAUUAAGAAUUAAGCAAAUGAUAUUUACCAGUACAUUUAAAGACUCUACAGACUACACCUUAUGAGUACAAUAAUCUACCUACAGUUAUCGAAGUCUGCAUCAAGACUAGCAACCAAGCAAUAAGAAGAAAACACAAUUUUAACACUACGAAAGCUGUAAUAUUGUGUUAAAAUUGCAGUUCUUUCAUCUAACUCCAAAUUGUCGAGGCAACAAAACGAAAGACUAGAUAUUACUAAAAUGAUUAAGCAAUACAAAAUAACGUUCAACUUCGUAGAGUAGCUCCGCAAACAUUUCUGGAUUUUCAGAUAUAGAGGCCCAUGUCGCUUUUUUUUACUUUCAAAUGUAAUGUUUACAGGAAAACCUCGACUUAACAAGACUAAGGGCUUCAAGGAUGAAAUAUCAUAACCAGAAGUAUGAUAACAGUAGUUAAUUAGCUUCAUGUUCCAUGACAGAAUUUAACUUCCCGAAUUCGUCCAUGUCACGAUCUUACAUGGGCGGCAAAGAGAACAUGUUUACAGUGGAAUUUCCACUUCUGAUUUCCUGAGGGUCCGUAAGGCUGAUAUAGUAAGCCUCGUGUACAUGUUUUCCAUGUUUUUAAUUGCUGAAAGUUCUUCAGGCACCUUGAGAGAAAGUUUUCUGUAUCCACAGUAGCAGACCAUUCACAGCAACCUUCUUUUUUAUCAGUCUCUUCGGGUGGGAUCAAUUGCUCAUGCCAUGAGAAGAUGCUGUAAAUCAUUAUCUUACACUCCUUCACUAGAUUAUUCAAACCUUCAGUUUUAAAGAACGGCUCAUGCAAAAACCUUUUGGAUGAAAGAUAGUCGCAUGAGUUCCGAAUUUCGCUUGUCUUACUUUUUCGAAAUCUUCACACGUCCUGCCAGAAAACCAAUAAAAAGUCCAGAAAUAAUGAACCUCAGCUUCCAAACAUGUAUAAGGAAUCAGGGAAUCAGAUCGCACAAGAAGUUCUGCUUAAAUGGAAUCAGGGACUAAUCAGGGGAACACUACGCACCAUAGAAUAUUAAAGGAAAUACAGUUUUUUUCAAAAACUAUAUCUACCUAUCAUCGAUUUCUGAACUCAAUCCUCAUCAACAAUUGUCUCCCUAGAUACCUCUUUGUGCAAUAAUGAAUUAGAUCUAUACCACUCUAGAAGUUUACCCUCGGAUAGAUUACCAUUGCUUUCAUAAUUCCUACAUGAAUAAACAUAUUUGAUAAGCUUGUAUGUCUUCAUGACAUCUUACAAUGAACUGACUCUGUAAUUCCUUGUCUCCACUCACUUUUGAGGAAUUAAGGGCUACGUUUAUGUAAUUAAAGCAAGACUAGCUAAGUUAAAUGGGUUUCUUUGCUCAAAAUUAAGAAACUAGCAAUUGUAAAGAAAACAGUAC
rnacentral:lncRNA from 1 species